CACCACCAUCACGUACACUACACAUCAGACCAGAUAUAUCUAUAUAUAUUCAUGUGUUCUUUUUCUAACUUCGCUCGGUGUUUCACUAUGGGAAUCACUUUGGGCGUGACCAACUGCGGAAGCUCCUAUGACACCACGUCUGUCUCUAACAGACAGGUCGACCUGUGACCAGGCUCCCCCUGCCUACAUCAGUCAGGUGGACCGUCAUAGGAACCCGCCACCGAACGCGAGAUUAGUGAACGGGAUUUUGUUGAGCUGACAUUCUUGAAAGUGGGAAUAGCGCCCACGUUGAGGCGAGCUAUUCCGAUUGGUCUAUUGCGUAUUCAUUUACAGCGGUAGGAGACGUCAAGUCUAAUUAGGUUCACGUGUCAAGGCGAACCUUCUAAGGGUUUAAUUACCUUUGAUCGUACAGCAGGCUACCGUGUUGUGACGUGUCGGUGAUCACAUCAUGUCGACGGCUGUUACCCCCGCCAAAGGGAAAGAGUUGAAGGCCAGGGAGGUUGAAGAAAAUCCCCUCUUCCCCGCCCAACAGUCCAGACUGCUGAACGAGUCGACCUCGCAGAUAGACAGCAACCUGCAUGAGGCCGAAGGGACUGAGAGGGACCUUUAUGAUGGGAAAAGGCUGCAGUGUCUAGGGGCCUGCAGCCGCCUAAGGGCUUGAAAGCCCACUCCACACGGGGUAUGGCGCUUUACUCAGGAGAGUUUCUGUUGGAGACAUUUGCUCGGCGGCAAGUUGGGCCACGCCACACACUUUCGUGCGGUUCUAUAGACUGGACGUGUCGGAGCCUUCCUUGGCACACGCAGUGCUGGGAGCCAGUGCAUCUGUACCCAUUGAAGGCUAUGAGGAAUAGCAGGGAUAUGGGUGCAUUCUGGGAGUGGGCUAUAUCUCCCAUAGUGAAACACAGAGCGAAGUUAGAAAAAGAACGAUGGGUUACUUAACGUAAACCCGUGUUCUUUGAUAACAGAGUGCUGUGUUUCACCAGCACUUCCCUCCUUGCACGGGUACGGGAAGAAAUCUUUCUUUAAUGACAUAGGUAGAGGUCUAUAGGUCAGAGACAGACCUGGUUUCAUAGGAGCUUCCGCAGUUGGUCACGCCCAAAGCGAUUCCCAUAGUGAAACACCUCACUCUGUUAUCAAAGAACCCGGGUUUACGUUAAGUAACCCAUCGUUCUGUGAUGUAAAGAUUCACGAUACUGAUCUCACGAUAUGAUUUUUCACGAUUUAUUUUUACAAAAUGAGUUGAGACAAAUUAGAAAUGAACAACUGCCCUUUUAUUAUUUCUCAAAUGCUGCACAUUUCUUUGUAAAAUAAAUACUGUAUAUAUUUUAUGUCAAAUGACAAAACUAAACUGCAAUUUUAAAACAAAUUCCAAAUCAAAUAAAAAAAGGAAUAAUGCAAAGUCUCUUUUAUAUAAACAAACUUAGACUUUGUGCUUUUCUUGGAUUUUUUACAUUUAAGAAAUAUCUUAAAAAGUGAAGACAUCAAGGACACAACCUUUGGCCUGUUUUUGAGUUUCUUUCUAGUAUCUUUGUGUGCAUCAUGUGUUUCUUUAGUUG